AACGUAGGGGGCGAGCGUUAUCCGGAAUUACUGGGCGUAAAGCGCGUGCAGGCGGCUUGGUAGGUUGGACGUGAAAGCUCCUGGCUUAACUGGGAGAGGCCGUUCAAAACCGCCCGGCUUGAGGACGGAAGAGGGGAGUGGAAUUCCCGGUGUAGUGGUGGAAUGCGUAGAUAUCGGGAGGAACACCUGUGGCGAAAGCGGCUCCCUGGUCCGUAACUGACGCUCAGACGCGAAAGCGUGGGGAGCAAACGGG
rnacentral:rRNA from 1 species